rnacentral:rRNA from 1 species
UACAGAGGUCUCAAGCGUUGUUCGGAUUCAUUGGGCGUAAAGGGUGCGUAGGUGGCGCGCUAAGUCAGGUGUGAAAUUUCGGAGCUUAACUCCGAAACUGCAUUUGAUACUGGCGUGCUUGAGGACUGGAGAGGGGAGCAGAAUUCACGGUGUAGCAGUGAAAUGCGUAGAUAUCGUGAGGAAUACCAGAGGCGAAGGCGGCUCCCUGGACAAUUGCUGACGCUCAGGCACGAAAGCGUGGGGAGCAAAAGGG